GACGAACGCUGGCGGCGUGCUUAACACAUGCAAGUGGUGCGACGAACCAGGCUUCGGCCUGGGGCGAAGCCGCGAACGGGUGAGUAACACGAGGGCAAUCUGCCCCUUUGAUCGGGACAACCCGGGGAAACCCGGGCUAAUACCGAAUGAGGUGGCGACUCAUGAGAGUCGUCACGAAAGGAAGCUUCGGCCUCCGCGAAGGGAUGAGCCCGCGGCCCAUUAGCUUGUUGGUGGGGUAAUGGCCUACCAAGGCAACGAUGGGCAGCUGGUCUGAGAGGACGAUCAGCCACACUGGGACUGAGACACGGCCAGACUCCUACGGGAGGAUGCAGUGGGGAAUCUUGCGCAAUGAGCGACAGCUUGACGCAGCAACGCCGCGUGAGGGAAGAAGGCUUUCGGGUCGUAAACCUCUUUCAGUUAGGACGAAGCUUUAUUGGUUAAUAACCAAUUGGAGUGACGGUACUUUCAGAAGAAGCCCCGGCUAACUACGUGCCAGCCGCCGCGGUAA
rnacentral:rRNA from 1 species